GACGAACGCUGGCGGCGCGCCUAACACAUGCAAGUCGAACGAGCGAGAGGAGGUUUACUUUCUCAAGCGAGUGGCGAACGGGUGAGUAACGCGUGAGGAACCUGCCUCAAAGAGGGGGACAACAGUUGGAAACGACUGCUAAUACCGCAUAAGCCCACGACCCGGCAUCGGGUAGAGGGAAAAGGAGCAAUCCGCUUUGAGAUGGCCUCGCGUCCGAUUAGCUAGUUGGUGAGGUAAUGGCCCACCAAGGCGACGAUCGGUAGCCGGACUGGGAGGUUGAACGGCCACAUUGGGACUGAGACACGGCCCAGACUCCUACGGGAGGCAGCAGUGGGGAAUAUUGCACAAUAGGGGAAACCCUGAUGCAGCGACGCCGCGUGGAGGAAGAAGGUCUUCGGAUUGUAAACUCCUGUUGUUGAGGAAGAUAAUGACGGUACUCAACAAGGAAGUGACGGCUAACUACGUG
rnacentral:rRNA from 1 species